rnacentral:rRNA from 1 species
AUGCAAGACUAUUUCGUGGAGAAUCCUACAUAUCCUCCGCACCUCUUCUGGAGAAGGUAUCGAAUGCGCUGAUCCCUCUUUGUGAAACUUGUUCAAGCUUGCGAGGCAAAUUGCCGGUAUUUUACUCAAAGAAGGAAUGCCGGGGGCUUAAAGGGAUUUAGUGCGUAUCAAAAAAUCUCCGCAGCUAUGCGGAUGAUUGCAUAUGGCGUUCGACUGACUAUGCCGACACUACUAGGGAAAACGUUAUACACAAAAUCUUAG